rnacentral:lncRNA from 1 species
GGGUUAUCCAGUCACUGGAGCUGCUACUAGGAAAAUCAGUAAAGCAGGAGGAAAUAAGGAAAGUUUUGUGUUGAAAAGAGUGGCAGGAGGAAAAAAAAAAACAAAACUGAAGAGGAGACAUUCUGGAAUAUGAAACUGUUCUCUCAAUUUCCAGGAAGAGGCAUGGCAUAUUUUUUUCUUCAUCAUAUCACCAAAGGAAAAAUAAAAGAAUCAUUGAAAGUAUACAAGGUAGGGAAAUAUCAGUCUAUUCGUUCUUACAGUCCAGUUGUCAGCAUACCAU